CGUCACUUCGCUCCUGGGCUCUGGCCAGGCCGGAAGCCCCUCAGGGACAUCCCGCCAGUCGCGCGUCCCGCAGCACCGGAGCUCUGCUAUCCUCCCGCCCCCCUACAACCUCGGAGCGGUGCAACUUGCCAUCUCCUCCCCCCGCACCCCAAAACAAACAAACCCACCACCACCAGGCCCUGCAGCACCGGAGCCCUGCCAUCUUCCCACCACCCUGCAGCCCCGAAGCUGUGCAACCUACCAGCCCCUCCGUCCCUGCAGUAUGGGAGUCCUGCCAUUCCCCCCCGCCGCCCUGCCAUUCCCCCCCGCCGUGCAAAACCUCUACCCCGCCCCUCAGAGCCUGCAGCACUGGAACCCUGCAACUCCCCGGGCCUGGCAGCAUCGGAGCCCUGCAACCCCCGCUGCAACUCGCUUCCCCACCCCGUGCCGCACUGCCGCUCCCCGGAUUGUGCUGCGGCGCCAGGGCCACGUUGCACAGGAAAAUACAUUCUGGCAGAGAGGUACUGCAGUUAUGCCGUUUGCCCACCAUGGGCCGCUGUGGUGCAAGAACAGAAGGCAGCCAGUCCUGGAGAAGCUGUGUUCCUCACUACCUGCCUCCGGGGUCAGAUUUCUUUGCUUCCCUGCAGACAAGUGACCUUCUGACGGUGAAGAAAGGGGAAGCCACAAGAGCGACAGAGAGCUGGAAAUGUUUUUCAAGAAGGGGACUGAAACGAUAAAAAGGAGGGACAAAUGCCCCAAGGAAUACCUCUCUCACUCCCUGCCCUUAACAUUCACUGCACCUGAAGCAACAGAGGAAGCCUUUGUUGGACGCUGGGAGAAGGGAUCCUGGCCUAAGACAUUUGGCAGUACAACUGCUGAAAGCAUGUGGUCUGGGAAAGAAGAGCUCUGUGGAGCUCGAACGCUUCUCUCUUUCUGCAACAGACGUUGGUGCAAUAAAAGAUAUGACCUCGCCCCUCCCCCCCCCGUCUCUAUCAUAUAACUUACUCAUUUUAUAGAUGCUGGAACUUUUGCUGGACAGCAGCUAAAUGUUAAGUUGCCCUUUUUAUGCUAUUUUGAUAUCACAAACUGUGAUGCCUACAAUCAGUUCAUAGUGGGCCCUAAAACUAACCUGGAGAUUUUGCAUAUGAUGCAUGAAAACAGGAGAAGUUAAUAAGCGCGUAUGAAGCCAGGAAAAAGUUGGAGAUGAUGGGAGCAAUGGUGUUCAGUUCAGCUGCAAGAAAGAAGCAUAAGUAUGUACAUAUAUAUAUCAUCUUACCAUAUGUUCCAUUCUAUGCAUCCGAAGAAGUGGGCUGUAGCCCACAAAAGCUUAUGCUCAAAUAAAUGUGUUAGUCUCUAAGGUGCCACAAGUACUCCUGUUCUUUUUUUGGAUACAGACUAACAUGGCUGCUACUUUGAAACCUUAGAUUUCAUGUGCAUGUCUUUCUGAUGGCUUUGGGGUUAGACAGCUGUUUCCUCAAAAUGCACUAAUACUUGGAUAUUGGAGAAGUUCAAGUUACACCUGCAAAACCUGGGUAACUUUCCAGAGGGGGCUAAUUUAGGGCCAGAUUGUGAAACCCUUACUCAGAUUGGGUACUACCUGACUCUACAAAUGAUAUAAGUGACUUUAAUGACGCUACUUGUGAUGUAAGGGACUAUUCAAUGGAAAGGCAUCACAAUCUGUCCUUUAAUUUUGGUUUAAGUUUUUUUAAAAUGUAAUUGAGCGGAUGAUGCACUUCGUAAAAGCAAAAGGGUGAUGGUGAAUUUAUUUUCUUUGCUUUUUAAGAGGCAUUCUGAAACAACACGUCACACACUUGAAUUUGAAGUCUUAUGAAAAAUUAACUUCAAAAAUUCCAGACAUCCAAAACUGCUGCUAAUAAUGAUCAAAUAAGUACUAGAAAGCAAUAGCGGGAAUCUCCAAGGACCAGUGCUGUGAGCUUGUGUUGAAGUCAGUGGGAAUUUUCAGUGUGAAAGGUUUGCAAAUCAGUUUGGUUUGUAUAAUACUUAAAAGAGAUUUGAAAUGAAUGCCAAAUGGAAAGUGUAUGAAGAAGUGUCUUAAGUGUCCGUGCUGGAUUUCCUACUGUGAUGAGCAUGUAUCUCUCCUAUUGAAAUCAACUGGACCUGUGGGUGCUUAGCUCCUUUGAAAAUAACAACAUAAUGGCAGUAAUAACCAACUGUCAUAGUUCACUUAUGUUUCCUGUUCACAUUAUGGGCCUGAUCCUACUUCAUCUGAGAUAAACAAAUUUUUGCCAUUGCUUUCAGUGGGAAAAUCAAGCCCCAUACAUUUUCUGAUUCUACAAUUUCAGUAUUACCUCUGCUUCUCACUAUAACUUAAUACUAGCAUCUCUGGAGUGGAUGUUAAUGUCUCACCUAUUCCUUGUACAGCAAACAUUUCAUCAAUGGAUUCAGUUAAGAUUCUUUUGCCCUGAGUGUUUUUUUUAAGGAUUUGAUAGAAGGUGGUCAAUGGCCAAAAUAAUAAAUGUUCUGGCCUUGAGCCAUAGUUAGGUGGGUCAAGAGUAAUGUGUGGCCAGAACUAGCUCAACCAUUGGUUGGUGAGCACACCAAUUAGCAUCUAUGCUGAGUGUUUGAUGAAUGAUUUAAGAACAGGAUGCAUUAAUAACCUGUAGCAAUCUAAAAUGCAUUCUGCACUCAUUGCACUUUUUACUUUCUUGCAAAAUGAAAUGAAUUAAAAACACAUUAAAUUAAAUGCCAAGAUGGAGUGGGAUUGAAUAGUAGAUAUUUUUAUGAAAAUGAAUUUAAAUUCUCAGUUAUUUGUUUCUAAAUUAUAGCAGGCAAUUGGAACAUAUA